rnacentral:lncRNA from 1 species
ACCCACGUACUUGAAGCUCACCAAGUUUGGCGCACAGAUAUUGCCUUCUACAAUAUUGCGACAUUCAUCCACAAUCAGAGUCUUCAAGCUCUUAUUCUCAACGUUAAUCUGCUUAAACCCACGGCACUGACUCAGUUCCAAAGACUGGAGAAGCUCCAUGCCUUUUAUCACUACUUGAAACACCUUAUUGCUGAGGAAAACCCCUCGUCCAAGGUAAAGAGUCUUCAAGCUAGCAAACACCAUUUCUUUCUUUACCCUGAAGCGACCGUUAGCGAGUGCUAACUUGAAAUGCUCAAGAUCUGGAGUGGUUAU